rnacentral:misc_RNA from 1 species
CGCAAAAAGAAACCUUGGGAUCUUUUCUCUCUGGAAAGGUCAAUUUAUUAUUUGCCACUGAUGUGGUUGAGGAGGGAAUUGAUGUGCCACACUGUUCCUCUGUAAUACGAUUUGAUUUACCCAAGACAGUUCGUAGUUAUGUCCAAUCUAGGGGACGUGCUCGUCAGACUGAGUCUCAGUAUAUACUAAUGCUUGAGAGAGGGAAUUG